rnacentral:rRNA from 1 species
UACGGGGGGGCAAGCGUUGUUCGGAAUUACUGGGGCGGUAAAGGGCUCGUAGGCGGCCAACUAAGUCAGACGUUGAAAUCCCUCGGCUUAACCGGGGAACUGCAUCUGAUACUGGAUGGCUUGAGUUCGGGAGAGGGAGUGCGGAAUUCCAGGUGUAGCGGUGAAAUGCGUAGAUAUCUGGAGGAACACCGGUGGCGAAGGCGGCAUCCUGGACCGACACUGACGCUGAGGAGCGAAAAGCCAGGGG